GCCUGGGUGGCUCAGUUGGUUGAGCGUCUGACUUCGGCUCAGGUCAUGAUCUCGCGGUUUGUCAGUUCGAGCCCCGCAUCAGGCU
rnacentral:tRNA from 1 species